rnacentral:rRNA from 2 species
UUGCCUCAGUAACGGCGAGUGAAGCGGCAACAGCUCAAAUUUUAAAGCUGGCGUCUUCGACGCCCGCGUUGUAAUUUGGAGAGGCAUCUUCGGUUUGGGCGCCAGCCUAUGUUCCUUGGAACAGGACGUCACAGAGGGUGAGAAUCCCGUGCUUGGCUGGCUGUCCCUUUCCAUGUGAAGUGUCUUCGACGAGUCGAGUUGUUUGGGAAUGCAGCUCAAAAUGGGUGGUAAAUUCCAUCUAAAGCUAAAUAUUGGCGGGAGACCGAUAGCGCACAAGUAGAGUGAUCGAAAGAUGAAAAGCACUUUGAAAAUAGAGUUAAAAAGUACGUGAAAUUGUUGAAAGGGAAGCGCUUGAGACCAGACUCGGCCGGAGAUGAUCAGCCGUCCUUCUGGGCGGUGCACUUGUCUCCGGUCGGGCCAGCAUCGGUUGAGACGGCGGGAUAAAGGCCCGGGGAAUGUGGCUCCUUUCGGGGAGUGUUAUAGCCUCGGGCGCAAUGCCGCCAGCCUCGACCGAGGACCGCGCUUUUUGCUAGGAUGCUGGCGUAAUGGUCUUCAGCGACCCGUCUUGAAACACGGACCAAGGAGUCUAACAUCUAUGCGAGUGUUUGGGUGUCAAACCCUUGCGCGUAAUGAAAGUGAACGGAGGUGGGAACCCCUCACGGGGCGCACCAUCGACCGGUCCUGAUGUCUUCGGAUGGAUCUGAGUAGGAGCAUAGCUGUUGGGACCCGAAAGAUGGUGAACUAUGCCUGAAUAGGGUGAAGCCAGAGGAAACUCUGGUGGAGGCUCGCAGCGGUUCUGACGUGCAAAUCGAUCGUCAAAUUUGGGUAUAGGGGCGAAAGACUAAUCGAACCAUCUAGUAGCUGGUUCCUG